GGCGCAGGAGUGUGAAGAGGAGCCUAGAGGACUUCGGUUGUAGAACUCAUUUCAGGCUUAGUUGUAAAGUGAUGAGUUGUAAAGUGAGAGGCAAAAGUGAUGUAAUGUUUCUAUAAUGAUACGAAUAUUCUUUGAAUAAAGUUAUAAGGGGGGCAUUGAGUUGUAAAGUGUAAAAAUUACCAUCCUAUAUAAUUUGGUCGCCCUAAAUGGAGAAGGAUAGGUUCUGGAUGGAGAGGAGUUCUUCCAAGCUCACUCGAAGUCAUUUUGCUUUCUGCCUUUGUUGCUCUUUUCACUUUUAAAUAUUUGGCCCUAUACUUCGGGGACGGUUUUCUACCCCAACAUACUCCCUCUAUUUUUAUUUGUAGGACGCACACACAUAUCCAGAUUCAAACUUUGAUCAAUAAUUUAACUAUUAUUUUUUUAUUUUUAUAGUGCAAAUUUUAUAUAAUUGGAUUCGUAAUAAAAUAUACUCUACAAUGUUCAUAAGGUUAUAACCAUAAACAAUACAAU
rnacentral:lncRNA from 1 species